GCAUCAAUGGGGUAGUGGUAACCUGGGUCGUUGCCAUAACUUUGAUGAUAUGGCGUAUCGACCCGCCGGGGGUUCGAUUCCCUCUUGAUGCA